GGGGUUGAACGCUGGCAAGGUUCUUCCGGUUACAUGACUUCGUGGUGUUGUAAAGAUCUGCAUAUGACGGAUUUAUUGGAGGUGAUUGUUUGGUAGGUGGCGGCGGGCAACGUGGAGGGAGCUUAUCCGGCUGGUUGGAGAUCACAAUACGCCAUUAAGGGUUGCUGCUCUGCCUGCUUUUACAGCUGCGGUCUGGAUUGCCUGUCCUGCAGUUGCUGCUGCUUUGCCUCUUCUCUUUUCUGUAUUAUGAAUGUGGGGAUUGGUAGAUCGUCAUUCCUUGUUUAACUGCCAGGAUUAAUUAAAGGGAUUUUAUUUUGUGUGUUAAGAUUCUUUGUGUUGGGACGCCAUUAGGGAGGAAGGGAACUUUGUGGUGGCAUGUUGUAUUGUGUGUGUGUGUGUGUGUGUGUGCAUGGGAAUUGUAGUGUUUCAGGAUGCCAUCUGCUGCUUGACUGUUUAACCUCCUACCCUGUGUGGACCAGCCCAGAGGUUUUAUUUUGUUAUGUGGGUGGUGUUUUAUUGGUAAUUUAUUUGUAAUAAAAGAUUGUAAGUGGA